GACGAACCGUGCGACCGUUGUUCGGAUUCACUGGGCUUAAAGGGCGCGUAGGCGGCUUGCCAAGUCAGGGGUGAAAUCUUUCGGCUUAACCGGAAAAGUGCUUCUGAUACUGGCGGGCUGGAGGGAGGUAGGGGCAGACGGAACUUCCGGUGGAGCGGUGAAAUGCGUAGAUAUCGAGAGGAACACCAGUGGCGAAGGCGAGUCUCUGGACGACUCCUGACACUGAGGCACGAAAGCUAGGGGAGCAAACAGG
rnacentral:rRNA from 1 species